AUGGUAGGAUAGAGGCCUACCAUGGUGGUAACGGGUAACGGGGUGUUAGGGCACGACACCGGAGAGGGAGCCUGAGAAACGGCUACCACAUCCAAGGAAGGCAGCAGGCGCGCAAAUUACCCAAUCCCGACACGGGGAGGUAGUGACAAUAAAUAACAAUACAGGGUUCUUUAGGAUUUUGUAAUUGGAAUGAGUACAAUUUAAAUCUCUUAACGAGGAACAAUUGGAGGGCAAGUCUGGUGCCAGCAGCCGCGGUAAUUCCAGCUCCAAUAGCGUAUAUUAAAGUUGUUGCAGUUAAAAAGCUCGUAGUUGAAUUUCGGGAUCAAUACGUCGGUCGUGCUUCGGUACGUACUGGCGUCAUUGAUUUCUCCCUUCUGACGAACCAUGAUGUCAUUAACUUGGUGUCAUGGGAAAUCAGGACUGUUACUUUGAAAAAAUUAGAGUGUUUAAAGCAGGCUCACGCUUGAAUACAUUAGCAUGGAAUAAUGAAAUAGGACGUUCGAUCCUAUUUUGUUGGUUUCUAGGAUCAACGUAAUGAUUAAUAGGGAUAGUUGGGGGCAUUAGUAUUCAAUUGUCAGGGGUGAAAUUCUUGGAUUUAUUGGAGACUAACUACUGCGAAAGCAUUUGCCAAGGAUGUUUUCAUUAAUCAAGAACGAAAGUUAGGGGAUCGAAGACGAUCAGAUACCGUCGUAGUCUUAACCAUAAACUAUGCCGACUAGGGAUCGGAUGAUGUUAAUUUUUUAAUGACUCAUUCGGCGCCUUACGGGAAACCAAAGUGUUUGGG
rnacentral:rRNA from 1 species